AGGAUAAUAGUUAAAAAAUCAACAUUUAAAUUGCAAUUAAAAAUUAUUGUUAUCAAUUUAUCUUA
rnacentral:tRNA from 1 species